rnacentral:rRNA from 1 species
UACGGGGGGUGCAAGCGUUGUCCGGAAUCAUUGGGCGUAAAGAGUUCGUAGGCGGCACGUAAAGUCUGGUGUUAAAGGCAGAGGCUCAACUUCUGUACGGCACUGGAUACUUGCGAGCUAGAAUGCGGUAGAGGUAAAGGGAAUUCCUGGUGUAGCGGUGAAAUGCAUAGAUAUCACGCAGAACGCCGAUUGCGAAGGCAGCUUACCGGCGCUCAACUGACGCUGAGGCACGAAAGUGCGGGUAUCGAACAGG